AAAAUAGAAAGAAAAAAAAAAUUUUUUUUUUUGGUUUAAACAAUUUUUUUUUUCGAAAAUACGGAUUUUCAUGUUAUUUUUUUUUUUUGCUUGAAAAAAAAAAUUCUACGAAAAGUGACAAGUUUUUCGAUGACUCAAAUAUAAAACAAUAAUAAACAAAAAAUGAACCAAAGUGCUUAUUUUGGUCGGUCUUCAGUCAGAUGAUAAGACAAAGUGCCUAAUAACAAAAUUUCAAAAAAUAAUUUAAAUAAAAAAUUCAGCUUUAAAUUCAACAAAAAAAAAAUUCAAAGAACAAUAACAAAAAACCAAACUAAGUUUCCUCUAACAAAAAAUAUUUAAAUAUAUAUUUUGUUUAAGUUAUCUGUGAUUUGUGUCUAAAGUAGAUUGAAAUGCAAACUAAAAGUACGCUAAUCUUGAAUGUGAUAGCUUAAAGCAUAAAUGUGUGCAAUUAAACUAAAAAGCAAAUAAAACUUAAUUAUUUCAAAAUAAAACAACAAACAAAAAAAAAAACUCUAUCAAAAUGACGACAAAUAAUAAUAACGAUGAAAGUUAUGUAUCACCGUCCAUAACCGACAUCAGCGACAGCAGCAUCGAUGUUGAUGACGAUGACGAAGAAGAAGAUGAAUCAUGCCAUACACUGUCGCCCGAAUGUUCCUGCAGUAGUUUAAAUAGUGAAACCGCUUCAACAAUUGCCUGUACAAGUGACAAUACCAUACCUUCCUGCGUUCCAUUAGUAGCAGUUCAAGAUAGUCCCGGCACAUCGUCAGCAGCAUCCGGUUCGACUUCAACUGCAUCCACAGCACCGAUUGAUCGUCAUUAUCCGCCUGACAAUCGUUUCCUACAUCGCAAACUUCCAAUACCCGCUUCGAUACGUAAUAAUAUGCUUCAUACCUGCGCUGCUUCUGCUGCCGCUGCUGCUGAUGAUAAUUUAUCAGAAUCAAUUGCUACAACUACAACAGAAGUCGAUAUCGAUCAGGAUGUUAGUUUACGCACAGAUGCGACACCUGCUGACACACGGUUAAGUCCGGCCGAAGCCGGAGCUUGGAAGGGUGAUUCGGAAAUAGUUAGAAGUUGUUCUAUUCGUAGUAAGAGAUCGUUUGCAUUAUCUUUAAGGAGUUCACUUCGUUCUGGAUUUAAGGGUGAACGUCAGAAGUCAGCAUCACAUGGCCAAUUGCCACAUCCGCAUUCGCUUCCUGUAGUCAUUCAAACAAAACCAAAAAUUAGAAUUGUAGAAUUUAUACGAAGGAUAUUUACACAUUUUAAGAGUUCUGGAAUCGGAGAGCCUAGUGUAUACCAUGCCUUGGUUGUGAUAUUUUUAGAAUUUUUCGCAUGGGGUCUGCUAACGAUGCCCGUGAUAGCGGUCCUCAAUCAAACAUUUCCGGAUCAUACAUUUCUAAUGAACGGUCUGGUAAUGGGCAUCAAGGGUAUUUUAUCGUUUUUAAGUGCACCACUAAUUGGAGCACUAUCCGACAUAUGGGGGAGAAAAUUCUUUCUCUUGAUAACGGUAUUUUUCACAUGUGCCCCCAUACCAUUGAUGACAAUAAACACCUGGUGGUUUUUCGCCAUGAUCUCAAUUAGCGGUGUAUUUGCGGUCACAUUUUCAGUUGUGUUUGCUUAUGUAGCUGAUGUAACAACUGUUGAAGACCGAUCGAAGGCUUAUGGACUGGUUUCGGCAACAUUUGCCGCAAGUUUGGUUAUAUCGCCAGCAUUAGGUGCAAUGCUCAUGGAAAUGUACAGUGACACAUUAGUGGUAGCUUUAGCUACCGCUAUUGCUGUGUUAGAUGUAUUCUUUAUACUGGUUGCGGUGCCAGAAAGUUUGCCAGAGAAAGUGCGACCUUCAUCAUGGGGCGCACCAAUUAGUUGGGAACAAGCUGAUCCAUUUGCUGGCCUUCGUAAAGUUGGCACAGAUCACACAAUUUUAAUGCAGUGCGUUACUGUAUUACUAUCCUAUCUCCCCGAAGCUGGACAGUAUUCAUGUAUAUUUGUAUAUUUGAAAUUAAAAAUGGGCUUCAAUUCAGUUGAGGUCUCAAUAUUUAUUGCUAUGGUUGGAAUUCUCAGUAUAAUCGUUCAAGUUACGUUAGGUGUUCUAAUGCAGGUACUUGGUGCAAAACGUACAAUAAUUUUAGGUCUUAUUUUUGAAAUGAUGCAACUGCUAUGGUAUGGAUUUGGUAGUCAAACAUGGAUGAUGUGGGCAGCUGGAGUACUAGCUGCAUUAGGUUCAGUUACCUAUCCAGCGAUAAGUGUUUUUGUAUCUAUCCAUUCGACAGCAGAUAGACAAGGCGCCGUCCAAGGAAUGGUAACUGGAAUGCGUGGUCUAUGCAAUGGACUCGGUCCAGCUAUGUUCGGUGUUAUAUUUUAUCUAUUUAACGUUGAUCUAAAUGAUGAACACAAUAGCAUAGGUCACAAUGGUGACGAUGGUGUUCGAAAUGAAACCCUACAUCCGGACACAUACGCACAAUUAGCGCCUGGUCCACCAUUCGUAUUUGGUGCUUUUAUGGUUGUUUGUGCCAUAAUGGUAGCUGUGUUUAUACCAGAAAGUCGCAGUGAUGUCAGUAUUAGCAGAUCGGCGAGCGAAAAGAAAAGAUUUACCGCUUAAGCGGAAUGAUGAUGACAGGUUAAUCAUUCUCGUGCCAGUUUUCCCUCUUUAUUCCCAUUCCUGUACCUGUUUUGUUAAUUUUUUUGAGUCUCAUUGGAUGUCCAAUACGAAAUUGAAUGUGGUCGCAAAUCCUCGAGUCCCCUAGCUCCGUUAAUGCGAUCAGAUUCGUCUGCGCAGCUGUAGUAUUUUUAGAUUUUUUGUUUUUUUUUUCUAGAAUUUAAAAAUUUUUACUUGUUAAUAAAUUAAAAAUGAAAAAAAAAAAUAUAAUAAAAAAUGCAAAACGUUAAUUCUUAA